AGUCACGGCUGCUGCCGAAGGGUCUCGAAGCCGGGGCGCUGCUGACGUCUGCGGCCCCGGCUUCUUGCGCACUCGGGCCACAUAGCAGCGGCCAGCUGGGGCAGGUGUGGGAGCAGAUGGAGAGUCUUCAGUGUGGGCCGCUGCGCACGACCUUUUGCUGAAGCGUGGCGGCCGGGCGGGCUCGAGGGCUUUGCGACGGAGGGAGGGAGCCGAAGUUGGCGGCGGCCCGGCGGGGGCGCCGGCGCUCCCUCACCCACCCUGACGGGCUCCCCAGCCCGAGGCCAGAGCGGCGAUUCCCUGGCAGGAGGAGGUCGCCCGCCACGAGGCCGGAGUGCAGUGGCCUGAUUUCGAAUGAAGAGUGGGAUUUUUCUUCCUUUUUUGAGCGCGUUCCCUGACCCCGCGCCUCAUUUCUUGUUUGCUGUCCUGCUGUAGGACUCAUUCGACACCCCCUGGUCUGUGAACUGAGGCAAUGGGGAGACCCUCGCCCGUUUCUCUCUGCCACUUAACUUAAGGAAGGAGUAACCUGAAACGUUGAUUGCCCAGGGGCAGGGUGGGAUCUGCUCUGCAGCUUGCUGGGGCGUCUUGGAACACUUUGAGAAUGAACAUUAGGGAUUGAACAAGAGAAAGUGACUUUAUCAGAAGACAGUGCUUUAAUUGGGUUUGCAUUUUUGAUCACUACUAGGCACGUGGCUGGGUCUGUCUAUAGGGUCAUUCCUCAGGAGUCCUUGGUCACAUCUCCUGCCAAAAUAGAAAUCACAGAUUUCCUUAUGGUGGGAGAGAAAGCUGCAGACAUAGAGAUUUCAUAGCUGUAAUGCACCAGAAUCAGUGAGUUCAAGGAGUCAGGAUUUCCUCAUGAGUCAUUCUUGUUGAGUUAGGAUUUACCAGAACAUUUAAUAACUGGCAAAAAGUAGGGGGGAGAAUGAGUUAACAGUUUCCUUGAUUAAGUUUUAUUUGUUAAUUCUUCAAGUAUCAUCUCUACUCCUGAAGGUUUUAAAACGACUUGAUUGGUAAAGACAAAUAGAUUACCUCAACCACAAAAUGAGUUGAUUUCGGAUAAUAUUACCAGAACUAGCCAGUGAAAUGUUUAAGCGGCUUUGCAACCAAGCUGCAGAUAUUCUCUCUACUUUGUAUUCGACUUCUUAAAAGGAAAUUGGAAAUAAUUAAUAUAUUCUUACGGUGAGCUGCCAGUAGUUGGAGCUCCAAGUUUGACUUGGAGGGCAAAACCUGCAGUUAUUAUUUAAGACAACAGUUGUGGACUUUAUUGUGGAAAGGAAAAUCGUGUAGAUUUCAGUAAUAGAUACUUUGAAACAUGCUUGUUAACUCUAGGAAUGCCAUUUUUUCUUAAGCAUAUGCUCUUCCUCUCCUAUGCUUUGCAUAAUAGUCCUACAUCUAUUUUCACUUUCUGAUGACUCAAUACGUAUUUAUCAGCUGUCUGUAAUACGCAGACACUUGCUUUUUCUCACCACUGUAAACCUCAAUAUAUUUUAUACUUAGAACCUUAGAUGUUAGAAUUUACUCAUAGACAGUUAAAUUCGCUGGCAGGCCAGGAGUUCUGACAAAGAGGCAGCAGAGAGAGAGAGCUGGACUUCUGUCAGGAGACCCAGUUAGAGCCUGGGCUUAUCCAGUAAAUGCUAAGUAACUGUUGGGACACUAGCUUCACACCUCUUUGAGUCCCAGUUUCUCAUCUGUAAUAAGAGUAACAUGUAUUUUCUUGCCAGCCUCAUAGGAUAUUAUGUGACUCUUACAUGAAAGGUCUUUUCUAAGCUCUAAAGUACUGUACGGAAGUUUAUUACUGAUUUGCAUAUGUGUGGCAAAAGGAAAUGUUCAAAUCAUAGCUGUUCAAGAUGGAAAAAAUCGUACGAGGAUUAACUCAGACGUAAUUAGGUUAUAAAUAUGUAGGUACUAUUAAAUAUCAAGAUGUUUCAAUUUGUAGGUACACAAAUACACAAGAUACACAAAUUUGUAGAAGAUUAAGCUCAUUAUAGAUAUUUAAUAAAUGCUCACUGGAUAAUACGUAGGAAAAAUAAGGAAACUGAUUAACAUUUAAACUUUUCAGGCUGGGUAUUGUGGUUCAUGCUGGAAAUCCCAGCACUUUGGGAGGCUGAGGCAGGUGGAAGGCUUGAGCUCAGAAGUUCGAGGUUCAAGCAUUCAAGUUACAGUGAGCUAUGAUUGUGCCAUUGCACUCCAACCUGAGUGAUAGAGUGAGACCCUGUCUCUUAAAAUAAUAAUAAUAAUUAAUUACACUUUUCAGAUAUCUCCAAGCCAAGGAAGUUUAAUCAUCUCAAUAUAUUAAUGAAAGUGAAUAUACAUGUACCUGCAUAAGCAACU
rnacentral:lncRNA from 10 species